rnacentral:misc_RNA from 1 species
GAUGAAGAACGCAGCGAAAUGCGAUAAGUAAUGUGAAUUGCAGAAUUCAGUGAAUCAUCGAAUCUUUGAACGCACAUUGCGCCCCCUGGUGUUCCGGGGGGCAUGCCUGUUCGAGCGUCAUUUCACCACUCAAGCCUCGCUUGGUAUUGGGCAACGCGGUCCGCCGCGUGCCUCAAAUCGACCGGCUGGGUCUUCUGUCCCCUAAGCGUUGUGGAAACUAUUCGCUAAAGGGUGUUCGGGAGGCUACGCCGUAAAACAACCCCAUUUCUAAGGUUGACCUCGGAUCAGGUAGGGAUACCCGCUGAACUUAAGCAUAUCAAUAAGCGGAGGA